UACAGAGGUCUCAAGCGUUUGUUCGGAUUCAUUGGGCGUAAAGGGUGCGUAGGCGGCGCGGUAAGUCGGGUGUGAAAUCUCGGGGCUUAACUCCGAAACUGCAUUCGAUACUGCCGUGCUUGAGGACUGGAGAGGAGACUGGAAUUUACGGUGUAGCGGUGAAAUGCGUAGAUAUCGUAAGGAAGACCAGUGGCGAAGGCGGGUCUCUGGACAGUUCCUGACGCUGAGGCACGAAGGUCAGGGGGAGCAAACGGGG
rnacentral:rRNA from 1 species